rnacentral:rRNA from 1 species
UACGUAGGGGGCAAGCGUUGUCCGGAUUUAUUGGGCGUAAAGAGCGUGUAGGCGGCUAGAUAGGUCCGUUGUGAAAACUCGAGGCUCAACCUCGAGACGCCGGUGGAAACCAUCUAGCUAGAGUCCGGAAGAGGAGAGUGGAAUUCCUGGUGUAGCGGGUGAAAUGCGCAGAUAUCAGGAAGAACACCCGUGGCGAAGGCGGCUCUCUGGGACGUGACUGACGCUGAGACGCGAAAGCGUGGGGAGCGAACAGG